AACGAACGCUGGCGGCAUGCCUAACACAUGCAAGUCGAACGGCAGCACGGGGGCAACCCUGGUGGCGAGUGGCGAACGGGUGAGUAAUAUAUCGGAACAUGUCCGGAAGUGGGGGAUAACGUAGCGAAAGUUACGCUAAUACCGCAUAUGCCCUGAGGGGGAAAGGGGGGGAUCGCAAGACCUCUCGCUUUCGGAGUGGCCGAUAUCAGAUUAGCUAGUUGGUGGGGUAAAGGCCGACCAAGGCAACGAUCUGUAGCUGGUCUGAGAGGACGACCAGCCACACUGGGACUGAGACACGGCCCAGACUCCUACGGGAGGCAGCAGUGGGGAAUUUUGGACAAUGGGGGCAACCCUGAUCCAGCCAUGCCGCGUGAGUGAAGAAGGCCUUCGGGUUGUAAAGCUCUUUCGGACAGAAAGAAAUCGUGCAGAAUAAUACUCUGUAUGGAUGACGGUACUGUAAGAAGAAGCACCGGCUAACUACGUGCCAGCAGCCGCAGUAA
rnacentral:rRNA from 1 species